UGUGCUGACAACAAAAUCACACAAAAAUUAUCAAGGGAAAUCAAAUUUAUCAACCCAUGGAGGUCUGGAUUUGGAGUCACACUCAAAAUUAAAGUGGAAAACCACACUACAGGCUGAUCCAACUUUGAUGUAAUGUCCUUAAAACAAGUCAAAAUGAGGCUCAGUAGUGUGUGUGGCCUCCACGUGCCUGUAUGACCUCCCUACAAUGCCUGGGCAUGUUCCUGAUGAGGUGGCUGAUGGUCUCCUGAGGGAUCUCCUCCCAGACCUGGACUAAAGCAUCCGCCAACUCCUGGACAAUCUGUGGUGCAACGUGGCGUUGGUGGAUGGAGCGAGACAUGAUGUCCCAGAUGUGUUCAAUUGGAUUCAGGUCUGGGGAACGGGCGGGCCAGUCCAUAGCAUCAAUGCCUUCCUCUUGCAGGAACUGCUGACACACUCCAGCCACAUGAGGUCUAGCAUUGUCUUGCAUUAAGAGGAACCCAGGACCAACCGCACCAGCAUAUGGUCUCACAAGGGGUCUGAGGAUCUCAUCUCGGUACCUAAUGGCAGUCAGGCUACCUCUGGUGAGUACAUGGAGGGCUGUGCGGCCCCCCAAAGAAAUGCACCCCACACCAUGACUGACCCACCGCCAAACCGGUCAUGUUGGAGGAUGUUGCAGGCAGCAGAACGUUCUCCACAGCGUCUCCAGACUGUCACGUGCUCAGUGUGAACCUGCUUUCAUCUGUGAAGAGCACAGGGCACCAGUGGCGAAUUUGCCAAUCUUGGUGUUCUCUGGCAAAUGCCAAACGUCCUGCACGGUGUUGGGCUGUAAGCACAACCCCCACCUGUGGAUUUCGGGCCCUCAUACCACCCUCAUGGCGACUGUUUCUGACCGUUUGAGCAGACACAUGCACAUUUGUGGCCUACUGGAGGUCAUUUUGCAGGGCUCUGGCAGUGCUCCUCCUUGCACAAAGGCGGAGGUAGCGGUCCUGCUGCUGGGUUGUUGCCCUCCUACGGCCUCCUCCACGUCUCCUGAUGUACUAGCCUGUCUCCUGGUAGCGUCUCCAUGCUCUGGACACUACGCUGACAGACACAGCAAACCUUGCCACAGCUCUCAUUGAUGUGCCAACCUGGAUGAGCUGCACUACCUGAGCCACUUGUGUGGGUUGUAGACUCCAUCUCAUGCUUCCACUAGAGUGAAAGCACCGCCAGCAUUCAAAAGUGACCAAAACAUCAGCCAGGAAGCAUAGGAACUGAGAAGUGGUCUGUGGUCCUUACCUGUAGAACCACUCCUUUAUUGGGGGUGUCUUGCUAAAUGUCUAUAAUUUUCACCUGUUGUCUAUUCCAUUUGCACAACGGAAUGUGAAAUGUAUUGUCAAUCAGUGUUGCUUCCUAAGUGGACAGUUUGAUUUCACAGAAGUGUGAUUGACUUGGAGUUACAUUGUGUUGUUUAAGUGUUCCCUUUAUUUUUUUGAGAAGUGUAUAUCACAAUAUAUACAAGCCUAAAAAGUCUGUUACAUAGUGGGUUUGUACUGUGGAGGAUAUAUAAUGUUCAUAAAUGCCUAUUUCAUUAUUUCCAUUCAACUACUUAAUUUUUUUCCAAAAACACUUUGAGAAAAUGAAUGCAGUAUCAAGUUCAUGCAGACUUUUAGUUGUGACGUGUAUAUGUGGUUUUCAUAUUCUUUAUUUAAAUCAUGUUUAUGUUUAUUAAACAUAUAAUGGGACUUUUCAUGAAGACUUAUUCACCCCUUUGAUUUCUUCAAAUUUUCUAAUAAAGUAUGAUUAAAAUUGA